rnacentral:lncRNA from 1 species
AUGAAGGACAAUGCAAAUGAAAUGCAGUGGUUUUCCUCCUCCACUGCUACCACUGUGCUCCACCCCGACUAUGUCAUCAUCAUCACCACCACCAUCACCAUCAUCACCUCCAUCAUCAUCACCACCAUCAUCAUCAUCAUCAUCACCUCCACCAUCAUCACCACCAACAUCAUCAUCACCUCCAUCGUCAUCACCUCCAUCAUCAUCACCACCAUCAUCAUCAUCACCACCAUCAUCAUCAUCACCACCAUCAUCAUCACCUCCAUCAUCAUCACCACCAUCAUCAUCACCACCAUCAUCAUCGCCUCCAUCAUCAUCAUCAUCAUCACCACCAUCAACAUCAUCACCACCACCACCAUCAUCACCACCACCAUCAUCAUUACCACCUCCAUCAUCACCUCCAUCAUCAUCACCUCCAUCAUCAUCACCUCCAUCAUCAUCACCAUCAUCAUCAUCACCACCAUCAUCAUCACCUCCAUCAUCAUCAUCAUCAUCAUCAUCAUCACCACCAUCAUCAUCAUCACCACCAUCAUCAUCACCUCCACCAUCAUCAUCACCUCCAUCAUCAUCAUCACCUCCAUCAUCAUUGUUACCUCCAUCAUCAUCAUCACCAUCAUCAUCGCCUCCAUCAUCAUCAUCACCACCAUCAACAUCAUCACCACCAUCAUCAUCAUCACCACCAUCAUCACCACCAUCAUCAUCAUCACCUCCAUCACUACCAUAAUCAGCAUCACCUCCAUCGUCAUCACCAUCAUCAUCAUCACCUCCACCAUCAUCACCACCACCACCAUCAUCAUCACCUCCAUCAUCACCACCAUCAUCAUCAUCACCACCAUCAUCACCAUCAUCACCACCACCACCAUCAUCAUCAUCACCUCCAUCAUCACUACCAUCAUCAGCAUCACCUCCAUCGUCAUCACCAUCAUCAUCAUCACCUCCACCACCAUCAUCAUCAUCACCUCCAUCAUCAUCAUCACCAUCAUCAUCACCACCACCAUCAUCAUCACCUCCACCAUCAUCAUCACCACCAUCAUCAUCAUCACCUCCACCAUCAUCAUCACCACCAUCAUCAUCACCACCAUCAUCAUCAUCAUCAUCCUCUGCAUUAAGUUGGUUCUCUGGAAACACAGUAAGGAGGGGAUUUACUGAAGGGGCUUUGGGGAUAUGUCCUUAGUUAUCAUAUCUGUAAGGGAACA